GAUGCUGCUCCAUCAAGAUUCUUCACAGUACACUGAUUUGGAAAGUGCUUUUGUUCUCGCGCUGGUUUCCUGCAGUACCGAGGCGGACCGGAACCGCAUGGGGGCAGCACACACGCCGAAGCGUUAUGAAUUAUGACUGCGGUCGGAGGCGCCCGAUCUCCACCAUGCAGGAGAAGGGCAGCCAGCCAGGGAACGCCGAUCGAUCCAGUCGUCUUCCCUGCUCACGUCCGUCAGGCUGCAGGUCCUGAGGGCUGAAGAGAGAGAGUGUGCAGCUGCAUCACUACCAGGACGGUGUGAAAGCAGCGAAGAGGAGCCCCCAGACUGAAAUCCAGACGGCCGUUCACCAGAUCUACCAGCAGCUGUCGGUCACACUGAGCACUGCAGCCCAACAAGCACCACAUAGGUAGUAACACACCCAGUGUUUUCAGUGUGUAUAACCACCGUAUGACAUCAGAGUCUGUAACAUGCACUCAGACAGGGUCCCCUGGGGAGAACAUUUUGUAUAUUUCAAAGUUAAAUCUAUCAAUCUGUUGAAAUUUAAGAGCAAUUUUAGAGAUUAAAUCUUUCAAGAACUUUAUGCUUUUGUAAACAAUUGCGGAAACUUACUUUUUGUGACGGGACAAGAAGAUUAUACAGCGGGGGCGGCGGGGUGUGUGUCAGCCUCCUGAGUAUUGACAGUUAUUUUCAGUUAUUAAGACACAUUUAUACACUAAAUCAGUUUCAUUUAAUGGUCAGCAGGGUCUUUUCCUUAGAUCUUGACAUGAUACACGUUUCUAACAAUUUCAGUACAUAAACAUCAAAGUUAAUGCUGGGGGAAAUGUGGUUAUCAGUAUCAUCAGUAUCAGUCAGACAUGUUUGUUGACUUAUUAUAAGAUGUCUCCAGCAGUGGAGAGCAGCCUCUCUGCUGAUCUUAGAUAUAAAAUAAGUCCGAAAAAUUGGCUUAAUUUCUUUUAAGGAGAGGAAGACUAAGGAAAUGAAUCCAGAUAUUACAUAAGUCAAAGUGUUCAGUGUGAAAUGUUAUAACAUUUUGAUAAAACCUGUCACCUUGAUAGUAUAAUGAUGAUUAAAGGGUUCAUUUUGCAGUUUAAAA